GACGAACGCUGGCGGCGUGCUUAACACAUGCAAGUCGAACGGAAAGGCCCUGCUUUUGUGGGGUGCUCGAGUGGCGAACGGGUGAGUAACACGUGAGUAACCUGCCCUUGACUUUGGGAUAACUUCAGGAAACUGGGGCUAAUACCGGAUAGGAGCUCCUGCUGCAUGGUGGUGGUUGGAAAGUUUCGGCGGUUGGGGAUGGACUCGCGGGUUAGCAGCUGGUUGGUGGGGUAGUGGCUUACCAAGGCUUUGACGGGUAGCCGGCCUGAGAGGGUGACCGGCCACAUUGGGACUGAGAUACGGCCCAGACUCCUACGGGAGGCAGCAGUGGGGAAUAUUGCACAAUGGGCGGAAGCCUGAUGCAGCAACGCCGCGUGCGGGAUGAAGGCCUUCGGGUUGUAAACCGCUUUCGCAUGUGACGAAGCGUGAGUGACGGUAAUGGGUAAAGAAGCACCGGCUAACUACGUG
rnacentral:rRNA from 1 species